rnacentral:rRNA from 1 species
AUUGAACGCUGGCGGAAUGCUUUACACAUGCAAGUCGAACGGCAGCACGGGGCAACCUGGUGGCGAGUGGCGAACGGGUGAGUAAUACAUCGGAACGUGCCCAAUCGUGGGGGAUAACGUAGCGAAAGUUACGCUAAUACCGCAUACGCCCUGAGGGGGAAAGUGGGGGACCGCAAGGCCUCACGUUAUACGAGCGGCCGAUGUCGGAUUAGCUAGUUGGUGGGUAAAGCCUACCAAGGCGACGAUCCGUAGCGGGUCUGAGAGGAUGAUCCCCCACACUGGUACUGAGACACGGACCAGACUCCUACGGGAGGCAGCAGUAAGGAAUAUUGGACAAUGGAGGCAACUCUGAUCCAGCCAUGCCGCGUGAAGGAUUAAGGCCCUAUGGGUUGUAAACUUCUUUUUAGACGGGACAAAAACCCCUUUACGUGUAAAGGGUUGAUGGUACUGUCAGAAUAAGCAUCGGCUAACUUCGUGCCAGCAGCCGCGGUAAU